rnacentral:rRNA from 1 species
UACAGAGGGUGCGAGCGUUAAUCGGAAUUACUGGGCGUAAAGCGUGCGUAGACGGUUAUUUAAGUCGGGUGUGAAAGCCCCGGGCUCAACCUGGGAAUUGCAUUCGAGACUGAAUAGCUAGGGUACGGUAGAGGGAAGUGGAAUUUCCGGUGUAGCGGUGAAAUGCGCAGAUAUCAGGAGGAACACCAAUGGCGAAGGCAGCUCGCUGGGACGGUACUGACGCUGAGACGCGAAAGCGUGGGGGAGCAAACAGG